rnacentral:rRNA from 1 species
AGUGAACGCUGGCGGUAGGCCUAACACAUGCAGGUCGAACGGCAGCACAGUAAGAGCUUGCUCUUACGGGUGGCGAGUGGCGGACGGGUGAGGAAUACAUCGGAAUCUACUUUUUCGUGGGGGAUAACGUAGGGAAACUUACGCUAAUACCGCAUACGACCUACGGGUGAAAGCAGGGGAUCUUCGGACCUUGCGCGAUUGAAUGAGCCGAUGUCGGAUUAGCUAGUUGGCGGGGUAAAGGCCCACCAAGGCGACGAUCCGUAGCUGGUCUGAGAGGAUGAUCAGCCACACUGGAACUGAGACACGGUCCAGACUCCUACGGGAGGCAGCAGUGGGGAAUAUUGGACAAUGGGCGCAAGCCUGAUCCAGCCAUACCGCGUGGGUGAAGAAGGCCUGCGGGUUGUAAAGCCCUUUUGUUGGGAAAGAAAAGCAGCAGGUUAAUACCCCGCUGUUCUGACGGUACCCAAAGAAUAAGCACCGGCUAACUUCGU